rnacentral:rRNA from 1 species
UGCAGUCGAGCGGACAGAAGGGAGCUUGCUCCCGGAUGUUAGCGGCGGACGGGUGAGUAACACGUGGGUAACCUGCCUGUAAGACUGGGAUAACUCCGGGAAACCGGAGCUAAUACCGGAUAGUUCCUUGAACCGCAUGGUUCAAGGAUGAAAGACGGUUUCGGCUGUCACUUACAGAUGGACCCGCGGCGCAUUAGCUAGUUGGUGAGGUAACGGCUCACCAAGGCGACGAUGCGUAGCCGACCUGAGAGGGUGAUCGGCCACACUGGGACUGAGACACGGCCCAGACUCCUACGGGAGGCAGCAGUAGGGAAUCUUCCGCAAUGGACGAAAGUCUGACGGAGCAACGCCGCGUGAGUGAUGAAGGUUUUCGGAUCGUAAAGCUCUGUUGUUAGGGAAGAACAAGUGCAAGAGUAACUGCUUGCACCUUGACGGUACCUAACCAGAAAGCCACGGCUAACUACGUGCCAGCAGCCGCGGUAAUACGUAGGUGGCAAGCGUUGUCCGGAAUUAUUGGGCGUAAAGGGCUCGCAGGCGGUUUCUUAAGUCUGAUGUGAAAGCCCCCGGCUCAACCGGGGAGGGUCAUUGGAAA